rnacentral:rRNA from 1 species
GGAAUUUUGCGCAAUGGAGGCAACUCUGACGCAGCCACGCCGCGUGCAGGAGGACGCCCCUACGGGGUGUAAACUGCUUUUCUGCGAGAAGAAGGCCUUGCUUUGGGCAGGGUGUGACGGUAUCGCAGGAAUAAGCACCGGCUAACUUCGUGCCAGCAGCCGCGGUAAUACGAAGGGUGCAAGCGUUACUCGGAAUUACUGGGCGUAAAGCGUGCGUAGGUGGUUCGUUAAGUCUGAUGUGAAAGCCCUGGGCUCAACCUGGGAAUUGCAUUGGAUACUGGCGGGCUAGAGUGCGGUAGAGGAUGGCGGAAUUCCCGGUGUAGCAGUGAAAUGCGUAGAGAUCGGGAGGAACAUCCGUGGCGAAGGCGGCCAUCUGGACCAGCACUGACACUGAGGCACGAAAGCGUGGGGAGCAAA